GACAGAGGGGGCAAGCGUUGCUCGGAAUUACUGGGCGUAAAGGGCGCGUAGGCGGGAUGGCAAGUCGGUCGUGAAAUCCUUCGGCUCAACCGAAGAACGUCGAUCGAUACUGCUGUUCUUGAGGGUUGCAGAGGAGACUGGAAUUCCCGGUGUAGCGGUGAAAUGUGUAGAGAUCGGGAGGAAGACCAGUGGCGAAGGCGGGUCUCUGGACAGUUCCUGACGCUGAGGCACGAAGGUCAGGGGAGCAAACGGG
rnacentral:rRNA from 1 species